GGAAUGUAGCUCAGUUGGUUAGAGUGACGGAAUCAUAAUCCGCAGGUCCGGGGUUCGAAUCCCUGAAUCGCCACCA
rnacentral:tRNA from 1 species